UGGGACUUGAUUUUGUUAUAAAUAUUUAAUUUGCAUUUAAAAGAAUUUAAGUUCUAU
rnacentral:tRNA from 1 species